rnacentral:lncRNA from 11 species
UUAAAAGAAAGAAUAAGAAAUAACAAUUCACUCCUGUCUCUUUAGGAUGCUGCUAACAGUGAGGUUGAUGAUGCAGCUGAUGCUUCCACAGCGGUGAGUGUGUACUAGAAUCAGUUAUUAUUUCUAAUUAUUCA